GAGAGAGAGAGGGCGGGAAGGAUCUAUGAACCAUAGAGAAAGAGACAAUCUACAUUGGCUGGAUUUACCGUGUACGAGCUGGACUGUUUUGGACUUAUCUGUUGGUGUUUAGACCUGGACCUACCGAGAACCAGAUUUGUGUACCGAACCCUGCUAUCCUUGACCUUACCUGCGGCCUGGGUGGACCUGGACAGCGAAACAAACACACAGUUUUCCACCAGUCCCCUUCAGCGUAGACACGGCCAACUGAACCUGAGGAACCUUUACUGUCCGAGCCACCAACGAUCGCAGAUUCACUUCUUCCUUCCCUGCCAGCAUCUCCAUAGUGACUAGGGGCGGUGCAGCCAACGGUACGGUGAGCCUCAUGGCGCCCGUCAGCAUCCCGUCAGGACGGAUGUAACCCUGUCUGUUGUCAGAAAAGUGACAGAUUUUUCUUCUCCCAGUGCGGACUACCAGGCUUCUCCUCCAACGUUUCGAUUACUCCAAUAGUUUUGUUUAGGUACUGCAGUUUAACGGAGGCUCGGCCCAGAAAGACAAUUUUCCAAACACGGCCAUAUUGAGAAUCGAAAUUAGAAAAUUCCAAAUAAGACACUUUAGUCAUCACAUUUGUGCACAAAACAGCCAUUGAAUUAUUGAAAUAUUUGUUGUUGAGGCCGAUUUUUAAAAAACAUUUUAUAUUCAUCCAAUGUCUGGCAUGUUUUUGGAUGACUUAAUGACAUUGUUGCUGCUAACACUUUUCCCUGUGCACUGAGUGCUAGUGAACAUGUGAUGUUGGGCUGUGUAAACCAGAUGCACCCGG
rnacentral:lncRNA from 1 species